GUGUGUGUGUGUGUGUGUGUGCGUGUUGCUGAGGAUGUUCAUAAAUGACUGCAUCUUUUCCACGCUAUUUAAUGUCUUCUACUCAAACAACUCUCGAGGGGGACAUGCACACCCCACCCAAAGUCAAACAUGUCUGAGGUCUAUGAGACUACGAGAGCAUGACCACACACACACACACACACACACACACACACACACACACGCACACACGCACGCACACCGCCUCGCAAACGAGCGCACACACACACACUAAAAGGAAAAGCCAAAGCCACAGACACCCAAGGCGAGCAUUGACAGACAAAGUCUCAACGAAAAACCUCAGGGUUCCCACCAGAACCUGUGGCCUAAAGACAGCAGACAGACACAUGUCUGCUUUGCACACGCACACGCACGCGCACACGCACACGCACACGCACACGCACACGCACACGCACACGCACACGCACACGCACACGCACACACACACACACACACACACACACACACACACACACACACACACACACACACACACGUUGUGCGUGCCAGGAGCAGGGCCCUGUGUCUGUGUGAGUAGUGUGACAGGCCGGCUCAACACCAGAGCCCAAAAAAAGACCAGAGGUGAGCCCUGGCCUGACCUGAGGAAAAUGGCAGAUCUGUCUUUAAGGGGUUUCUUAGCAGGACAACACAGAGAGGACAACUCCUUUGCUGUGCUGCAGCAGCUGCUGGUAUAGUGAGCAAAAACAACAAAGAGACCUGCUCUGUGUGUGUGUGUUGGUGCAAUAACUUUUUAAGUAAUACUUCAACGCUAACAGAGUAGGCCCAACACCAUGACAAUUAAAUCAACGGUGUGUGUGUGUGUGUGUGUGUGUGUGUGUGUGUGUGUGUGUGUGUGCGUGUGUGUGUAAAAAGCCACUCCACUACUCUUACUGCCGCUAAGAAGGACUGAUGAAUAUUGCAUAGUUCCAUCUCUUGUUCAAGACCAAAUGCUGCUAAGACGGCGUAACCACAGAAAAAGUCCAUGUCUGAACUAUUGACUCGACCCCUACAUACUACUUUACUACACUAUGGUUACGUUUGUUUACUUUGGCUUAGUUUACGCUUAGCCUAUAAUGCGAGUUACACGGGUUUGGAGCGCAUUUCGGUUGAAGAUGUGAAAAUUUCGGUCGGCACAGAAUCUCCAGUACACAGGCUAGACCGUGCACAGUUGGCCAUACUUUUCAAAAACAAAAAAGGGUCCCUUCAAAAGACGCCUUCAGUCAGACUUUGAAGAAAAAAAAGUGGUGCAACACAGGCUGCCUUGCCUUGAUGACUGUUUGAGCUGCGCUUGAUUAAUCAAUUUUGUGUGGUGUGUGACGUGAUUGUGAUGGUGUGAGUGUGAGAAGAGCGUGAUAGGCACAGCAACACCCAAACUUUUGUUUGCCCAAGAGGGUUUUUUUUUUAAAAGCACAGUGACAGGGCACCGGUCCUACAGCCAGGCCCAGUCUGGCUAUGCUCUGCUCUACACACCACAUGGGUCAAGGAAGCUUGGCGAACGAAACCAGACAAAAAAAAGUUGAGGCUUUGAGAGAACUUCUGGCACAAAUGUCCUUAUUCCAAAAGGAAGUCCUCUCUCUGUCUACAUGGAAAACUAGGAUUGGCACACCUGAUGUUUGGUCACUCGGCUUGCAUGUCAUGUCUGACAGACCCUUUUUACCAUCUCCUACUAUAGUGGUAAAGUGGCCCACCUGCACACACCAACAGAAGCACAAACUCACACCAUGCGAGAAAAUGAAAAUGUCAAACGCAGAAAAAAAAGGUGUGUAUGCCUCUCAGCCACACACACACACACACACACAAAGAUACACACACACACACAACCUUAUUCCCUCCUUCUUCCUCCUCACUAAAAAAGUACCUGGAGACACCAGUGGGUGAGGCCUUUCAAACACACACACACACACACACACACACACACACACACAAAGUGGCGCGGCAGGCCAGCCGGCAGGGCCCCCGCCCUGGCUCACCGGUGGCGUUUCGCGGUCUGCUGCUGCUAAGCUGUACUGGCGGCCUGCCCGUGCGGGGCUAGCUCUCGCUGCUGCUGCUGCUGUUGCUCUAGCUGCUGCUGCUGCUGCUGCCACUACUGGCUCCCAGCACCACAGCACACCACACCACACCGCAGUGCAGCGCUCUACGCCGCCAGGCUGGAAAGGACAACAGAGUGCCCUGUUCCAGAUGUGCCGCCUCACAUGUGGCAGCCUGUUUACCUUAUGAGUCAGGAGGCAGGCGAGUGGAAAAAAGUAGCCCAGGCCCAAACGUACAGGCUGGUGGAAGGUGGAGGUGAGUGGGUGGGAGUACAGACAGAUACAAAAAGAAAAAAAAAAAAACUGAAAGAAAGGUGGUAAAGCAGGGGGAAAUGGCAGGAACUAGCCAUCUUUUUUAGGAGUUUAUAGUUCCCCCAUCAUGCUGCUUGAAUUUCCCCCACACAAUUGAACAAAAACCUCUCCAUGUGCUGUCACUUAGGUUUUAUAUGGGCCAAUCCUUAUCAUGUUGGCUAUGUUUAGUUUUAAUUUUUGUUUUAAGGUCACACGCAGAAAAAAACAAUCCGCUGAGAAGAACCUGGUGCAAACUCGUUGUCUGGGAAAGUUUUGCGAGCUUCGUCUGAACUGUAGCCGCCCUGGAGCUGUGUCAGCAAAGACGGUUCACAACACUGUGAUCUUGUUGAGGGAUUUGGCAAGAGGCAAAAGGAAAAAAAUAUCCUUGUGUAAUGUGAGAAACAGGUAAAAUGGCUGGCUUGUAACAAACACACAUGGCUGAAGAUUUUACCUUUAGGCUACAAAACCAGUCCUGUGCUAACGUCAGAUACCGUGAGAGGAAGUGGGAGACUCUGGAUUCCUGCACGCACAAGGAUUACAAUCUGUGUUUUUUUUGCUUUUUGAGUCCCUGGGGGUGAAAAUGCAACGUGGGUAUAGAAUUGAAGCAUCCAGCUCCUUUUGUGUUGUCGCUUCCCUUUGGCACAAUGUCUGACCAUGCUAUGAUCUCACAGAAUGAGCACUGGGGGACUUCACAGAGGGCAAUGGAGAGAGAGAGAGAGAGAGAGAGAGAGAGAGAGAGAGAGAGAGAGAGAGAGAGAGAGAGAGAGAGAGAGAGAGAGAGAGAGAGAGAGAGAGAAAGAGAAAAAAAUGCCCCUGCAACAGGAAACAAGAACACAAAGGAGACUGACCAUACCUCAUUUCAACAUUUCAACAGAUUGCAAUUAAAUGGCCAGUCACCCUUUGUUAAAUGUGUUUGCACGGCUGGCAAUCCUACUGAUAAACCAGACCACAAAUGUCAAACCCGAGACAUGGGCCUCUACAGGCCAAAGGCUCAAAGUCGGUGGAUGGUUGUAUGAUUCAUUGUAACCCUUAUUAAGUCAUUUGUUGAUACUGCUCGUGGCCAUAUAGAGCUUUAAGACUGCUGUGCUGUAGGCAAGUCCUUGGAGGUAGAGGUGGGGGUUGUGGAACAAGUAGCUCUUGCAGUCCAAUGUAUACAAACAUGACUUCAUUGCCUGGGGAGGAUGAUCUCUUAGCACACUUCUAAUGCAAAACGGCAGUUUGGUAGUGAAAGGACCGCGUGGCAAGAUUAGUCACUAAACUAAACCACUAAAAUAGUGGUAUACUUUCUAAGCAAAAACACUGGAGCCCAUUUCUGUAGCCAAAACAGUUAUAUGGACAAUUUCGUUUCCCUAAACAUCGACACAAGACCUCGCGGAACUUUCAGGUCAUAAAUUCGUCUGGAAUGCUGGUAGUCGCGACAUUCCAGAAUUAAAAGUCAAUUCAAGCAACUCGGGAAGAACUUCCGGAAGAGUUGAACAAACAUAAAGACAUCAACUAAAAAACAGGACAGUGAAGCAGAAACAUGAAGGGAGUUGGGGGAGAGAGACGGGGAAGGGCCGGCAAAGGCUGCGGACCCGAGUCGACUGCGUAGUAGACGAGUGCCCUACCAUAUCAGCCACGCUCAUGGUCCUGAAUACAUUUGUUUGGCAGGCGCUCCUCAAGGCAAAGAACGUGGCACACUCUCAAGAUCGUCCCUCCGUUAUUCAUCAGAAUCCAGAUGGAGUGUCCUUGGCUCACGUACCUACAGUAGACUAUGUCCCUAUAGAAUGACAGAAAAUACUUUGGCAUUUUAUCUUUAACUUACAUAAUCUUGUUACACUGAAUAAAGAAAGGUCUUAUGAAUCGCCCAUGCCAUUCAACAUAUACAGUUUGACUUGAAAAUUAUAUAAUACAUGAUGGAGGUAUUAUUCAGGUGCUAAGGCCUUGAGUUCCUUGUAAUAUUUCUCAUGGACUGUAUGUCUUCAAUGAGCGUCUUUUUUCCUAGUCAACAACAUUUGUUAUUUAACUCAAUAAAAUAAAAAAGCUGCAACUAAACAUUUAGAGGCCGUGUGGAAGAUGAAGGGGGACAGUGUGGGACUAAAGCCCGUACUCUGGCCUCCCACCUCCCACUUCAUGGCUCUCUGGUGGGCCACAACCACAAGUCACACGGCCUUUUAAAAACAUCCUAAUCAACAAGAAAUGAAGGCACAGAGACACGCGUUUGGUCUA